rnacentral:misc_RNA from 1 species
GAUGAAGAACGUAGCGAAAUGCGAUAAGUAGUGUGAAUUGCAGAAUUCAGUGAAUCAUCGAAUCUUUGAACGCACCUUGCGCUCCUUGGUAUUCCAAAGAGCAUGCCUGUUUGAGUAUCAUUAAAUUAUCAACUGUACCAAUUUGGUUGCAGAUUGGAUGUGGGAGAUUUUGCAGGCUUUUGAUUUCUCUUUGAGAAAACGGUCAGCUCUCCUGAAAUAUAUUAGCAGUGCCUUUGUUGGUUCAUUAGGUGUGAUAAUUUAUCUACAUCUUCACAUGGUACCUUCAUUUGUGUAAAGGUCAUAUUGCUUCUAAUUGUCUUUGGACAUAAAAAAAAAAAAACAUAUAAUUGUAUGGAAAACUUGAUCUCAAAUCAGGCAGGACUACCCGCUGAACUUAAGCAUAUCAAUAAGCGGAGGA